GAAGUAUAAAGAGCCCGAGGGGGUGAGAGAAAUUUAUCAAGAAAUCGAGCCAGUGACACCUGUUCUCACGACAAUAGAGAAGAUUCUAACUGUAAAAAAUAGUGUCAACUGUUGGCGGCCAUCGCCCCGACGUCACAAUUUCCCAUCAAACGAGGACACCUCUCACAUUCAGUAUCAACUUGUUUAUUGGCUAUUUUUGUGGCAUUUUUCUCCACCGAUGCAGAGAGCAAACAAAAGGGGCGGAUGGAAAAAUCCACUGGUGAAUAUGCAAACGCAAGUGGACGGCGCAAUGAAGGCCAAAUGGUUUUCAAAACAGAGAGGCUAAUAUAAUGUAACAAACCUGUUUUCAUAUCGUUUAAUUGUACAGAAGCACUGCAGAAGCCUGGAGGGGUGGAUGUUUGUGGGAGCCACCCGGUUUCGAUUAAAAUUUUUGAUUAAAAUAACAUGGGGAGAGGCUGCCUCAUAAUCAACCGACGCACCAAUAGAAUCUGAUAUUUCGGGUUUCACUGAACAACUCCAGGGAAAGUGCUUCCCUUAUAUUUCGGUAAUGAGGGGUUUAUUUUUGAUGCGGUGAAUUGGAAUUCAAAGGCGAAAUGGGAGAGCCAUUUGUAGAGAAAAUAUUGUCAGAGGAAAAUUCUCAAGUUUUUGGUGGAAUGAAAUUUGCAGUCAUCUCCAAUCCAAUCCAAUUGGUAAUUUACCGCAUAAAUAACCAAUAACUGGCCCACCAUCCGAGUGAUUGAUAUUUAUUCCUAAAAAAAUUCUAUCAUCCUCUGGAAUCAAACUCUUAACACCUCAAAUCCCGAAUUCAUUUCUCGCACUGAAUAUUUUCACAGGCCACCGGGGCUGGAAGACAAAAAAAUUAUGCAAAUAUUUUUCAUAUGAUACAAACAUCCCAGUAUAACCCAGUAUCCGGUUGUGAAUUAUUGGCAUAAAAGUGCGGAUGUAAAAACCAGAGGUCUAGCGACUUGGUAACUGCACACUUCCUACGGGCGCCAUUAAGAACCAACCCGGUGCGGGGCUGUGUUCUCACGGGCCGUUAAUAUGGCGCGAAUGUUUAUACCGUUCUUGUGCUAUUUAAAACGCUCCGGCGGAAGGAAGGAAAAACGGGGUAGAGGGGUUGUAGGGAACAUUAAUAGAGAAAAAGAAAUUCAGUUGAGUAGAACCAGGGGCGACGGUGUAUUAUAUCCACGGGUCUCUAACCCGGAAUUCCUUCGGCGAAAUCUGGAACUAUACGAGACGCACUAAAUUCUCCCCUCCCUCCCUUUGUGGGCAACGAAUUGGGAACGGGGUAAAAUUACAGUAGAAACGGAAUUACAUAGAGUCGUUUAAUGAAGUCAGCGGAGAGAAAUUGAGUUUUCUUUUUCCUUCGGGUGCAGUCGUUUGCCCCCGAAAUGAAUUUUAAUUGAUGAAUUGAAUUCCUCAUAUUUUUUAAUUUUUUUAAAUAAGGGAAGGAAGGCCUUUGGUGUAAGAUUUUUAAUGUGUGGAAAUGUUGGGCUCGUUGAUCUCCAAUUUAUUCCCUGCGAUACGUUAUCUAAAUGCUCGCUGGCUUCAAAUAUUUUUCUCCAUUUUUAAUGAUCUCCGACACUCGCCAUUUAGCCCGCCAAAUAGUCUCACUAUUUACCUUCUAAAUUGUCGAUAUUUCUUUCAUGUUCACUGGAGAACAUUGACCCAUUCCUCAUUCCCUCCCAGUAAUACACGACACAUGUUUAUUUGUUUUUUUUUUCAAGGGGAAUAAAUCAGUCCGAGUUAUCUGUUUCGUUGGGUGAAAUGUGCGCGAGACGGGUGAGAUGUAACUAUUCAUUUCCUACGAAACAUCAGAGAGUCUUUUUGGACCACAUCCGUUUUCCCUCGCGAAACGAGCGUCUUGAGUUAAUAUUACCCCGGGUGUAUUUGUAAACUGCGGGACGAGAAACAAACUCAGACUGGCAAUGUCUCGACGUGUGGAAUUUAAGAAUUUCUUGAAGAAUUUUUCUCCCUCAAAAUAUUGACAAAUAAUUCUCUUCAGCAUGAAAAAAUUCAAGGACAACUUACGCUGAUGGAACGUCCAUUAUUUAAACUAUUAAUCCGAUUCUUUCAUUGCCAGUAAUGCAGACUAGCGGAUUAAAUUAAAAAAGCAUUAUUUUUUUACUCGAAUCCAGGAAUAUAUUAUUUUUCAUUUCCCCAUUUGUCCUUUACCCCCAUCACAGAUAAUCCAUAAAGAAUUAAAAUGUAUCACCAAUAUGUGAAAAUACAAUCGCAAACAGCCCUCACAAUUCAAUCCAAAAUUCAAUUCCGCAGUGAGAAAUUCCAGGAAAAUUGGAAUCGAAGGGAAAAUUCAUUAAUACGACGUUUUAUUGAGAUUAAUUUUACCCAGCGAAAUGAAAUUCCACAAUUAUGAUAACGCUAAUGUCUGCAUAUGUAUGUGCAAGGGAGAACAAAUGAUGGCAAUGGAUUGGGAAUAAAAAUAGAAAAAAAAAGUGGCAGCAUUUAAAUCCUAUUGGCAAUGGUCACGGCACACACAUUUACAGAGGCAUCAUCAGGCACAUUGGACAUUGGGGUGAGGGGGUGAAUUGCUUGGAGGCUAGUUCAGGAAAGGGGACGGGGGGGUUGGUUAGUGGAGAGAGCGUAUGAAGCGCGACAGGGCGGUUAAUGUCCGUGCAUAAAUAUCGGCACUCUAAUUGGCCGGAUAAGCACGCACGCACGUGCUGCACGCGUUAUUCACCGCAGACCAUAUCGUCGAAUUCGUAAUUAUGCUUUUAAUUGAAAACGUGGCGCCCCACGUACCGUGUCAUACCGGCGGCUUCAUCGAUGCUGAAUUUUUACAGCACGACUGUCUUUCUAUUAGUCCACGAAGGCAAAAGUGGGAGGAAAAUUCGAAUUAUUUGGCUCUGAAGUCAGGAAAAUUUUUAAUAAAAAUUAUCGUAACGAUUCUGUGAGAGAUUUAUUAAAUUGGGGAAAAAAUUGUCUCUUAAGAGACUCGAGAGUAAAGUUCAUGAAAUGGAGAGAAUACUGUUGACUUUGAAAGGGAAUCGUCUGUGUGCUGAUGACUUCAGAUGUUAAUAACCUGUGGCUCUACAAAUAAACGGUCUUGAUGCACAUCGCAGUUGAAUAGAGUGAGCCAUCGUUAAUUCAACAGUUUUCAUUGCGUGCUGCAACAUUACGGCUCAACGGACAGGCUUGAGCGACGUGGAAAAAUAAUCCACCCGCUACUUCACCGGCCCACGUCGGGUCUAGAACUGCAGAUGCUUCUAAUGCGUCUCAAUUGUUGAAGUUUCUUAAUGCAUGCUCUUUCUCAAUUCGAUGGAAAGUGUUUACGAUGGAUGAAAAUAAAUAUUUCGGUGGCACAGUGACUGCUACGUAACUUCGAAAUAUUUUUUUGCCAUAGAGAUAAUUCAUUUUUGACAGUUGCAAACCGGAAAUUUCGAAUUAUUCGGAAUGACAGCGGGAGCACAACCAAAAUAUUAACAAAACCAAACCAUAAUGUUGAUUUUUAUUGACGUUGACGUUCUCUAUUUCCACUUAAAUUCUUCAGAAUAUUUUCGGAAGAGCAGAUAUUGGACAGACAAAGUGUUAUACGCGGUUUAUUCUGCGAAAACAAUGGACCAAUAGCUCGUAAAAUUGGCCACUCCAUUGGUUGCAUAAUAUCCACAAUAAGUGAAAAUAUAUAAAAAAUAAUUUCCCUUCUGUUGACAAUCAAUGCCCCAUAAAGAGUGUCAGUUCCCGCAGUUAUGGGUUUCUCGUCACCCAUCAUUGGUCCUAAAAUAACCACAACGAGACAGUAAUGUACCUUUCCGCUCCCUCCAUUAUAAUUUUUUCUUCUCUUAUUUCGCCUUCACCUCAACGCACUCUCUCACAUCGAUAUUUCAUGAUAAUUAUGUGACUACCGGUUGUGUCGGAGUGGGCGCGGUUAUCCAGACAAUUCCCAAUACUAUCUUGCGUUGUAAAACCUCGUGACGAAGUGGCGUGUCGAACAUACAUAGGUGAAUUAUACAGUGUACGUGAGACAAAGCGAGAAGUUGGAAUAAACAAAAGGCGAUAUGGUUCUUUAUGCGGGGCAAAACGAGGAAGAUAAAUUCACGACGGAUUAAAGGGCCCAUGGAAUACCCAAUGGAUAAAAUUAUUCGAUUGAAAUAACUAAUUCCACGCAGAUAUCAUUCUUAUUGAAAUUCAUCUCCGGGUUCUACAUGUUGAGAAAUUAUUCAUUUGAAUAAAAAAAAACAUUAGUUGGAGUUGUUGGUGACAGGGAAGCGAAAAGAGAGUGGAUUGUACUGAUGGAGACGACUGGAAUAAAAGGAAGUAGUAUUGUAAAGGGGGAGAAAUAAAAAUGGGGGGUUUUCAUUUUUUCGGUGACUUAUCGAAGGUGAAAAAGAGGAGAUUUCAUUCUGGAAUUUUUUUUUUGUAAUGUAAUCUGCGGAAUAAUUUCACUAAUGUAUACAGUAAAAGAUGAAGCCAUGCCAGUCAAAAAUGGGAGAAAAUGGCGAAACAAUUCCACUGAAAUUAUAUAAAUGUAAAAAUGCAUAUUAUAGUGAAACGGAUUGAUUUCACUUAUUUUCUACCUCUCCACUGUACUCAACAAUUAUUUCAUCUAAAGGGAAUUUCCACUUGAGUGAACAUAUUCAAAGCCAGACGUGAAAUGAAUGGAAUGAAAAAAACGCUCUUUCACCUGCGUAAAACAAUUCCUGCGAUUUUCGCCGAUGAAGGAUGUUGGAAUGUUCAUCAAAAAUCAAAGAAAUGAUAGCGCACUUUGAUAAAUACCACCCAACUGGAUAAAAAUUGAAAUAAUCCCAGCAGCCUCCACUUAUUUUUCAUCCUUCAAAUAAAUCAGCAAAGGCAGUCGUUGCCUUAUUUUGUUAUGAGAUAGAAUAGUCAGUCGGAUUGAAAAAAACAAAAUCAACUGAAGUACAAUUACAUCUGCAAUGAGAUGCUAAAUUAAAAGUCACUGUUUUUAAUUUAUUUUAUCCGAAUAAACUCAACGAAGUCUGACUACAUAGUACCAUUUCUACUCACCCCAAUCCACCGCUCCCAGUGAAAUCUCAAUAAACACUGUAAAUAAUCUUGAAAUUGAAAAUUUCCAUGGUUGUACUCUCUGGUGUAAAGGCGUAGAACAAAUUAAAGUCUAGGAAUGAAAACAGAGGCUAAAAAUGUGAAAUUUAAAAAUUAUUCUAUCCAACCGGAAUUCUCAUUCACAGGAAUACAUUUCAUUAAAACUGACAAGUGAAAUACCCAGAAUAAAAAGCCCCGGCCCUUCAGUCCCCAUUUCCUUCACUUUUUUUCCCAGGAGAGAAUGUCCAUCAGAAGCGAGAAGAAUCGAGGAAAAAUUCAAUUGAAAUUAUCCACCGUCGUAAAAUACACCCUAAGCCCUUUCCCACCCCCACCUCAAUUAACCCGAACAACUGCAGACUUUAUUUUCCCAUUUCCACGUUCUCCCCCACCCACCCCACAAUGUCCCAUAAAUUCUGAUUAUUAUAAAGGCAUAAAAGUUGAAUGAACACACGUACACGGUCAAUUUUAUUCCUUAUAUGAAACCAUACCGUCAGAAAUAAACCAGCAAAAAGCUGAAGAAGAAAAUUAAAGACCGAACAUAACAAGGGACGUAAAAAGUCGGUUGAAUUUUUUCUCUCUCUCUUUCUGAAAUAUACCUGGCUCUACGUUGUCCAGCGGUUUAUACCCACCCCCAACCCCUCGCCAUAAAAGACCAUAAUCCCGGUUUUCUUAUCCCACAGGAGACAAUAUAAAGACGAUGUGAGUGGUGAUAGAUGCAAAUAGUCGGACAAUAUUGAAGUUAUAAUUUUCGUAUUACCCCACCCUUUUAAAUCCCCUCCUCCCCCUGAAAUUGCAGCCAUCUGGUUCGUCAUAAGAUGAUGGCGGGGUGGUAAAUGAGUCGAAAGGGGUAGAGGGUUGAAGAGGGGCGGGAGGGGUCUAACAUUGGCACUAACCGCCACUCGAGGGAAUCACCGCCUGUAACUUUAAUUUCUCGAUUAUCCUACAUUGCUCCGUUUAGAGGAGAAAAAGAGCCGACGAGCGCACCAACGGGGGUGCAGAGGGGCGGGAGGAUGGGGGAGAAUUGCCCAGGUACUGCUCAGAGGUGAAACGAAAGACUAUCAUCCCUCCCCCUCAAUUUCACGUCUCGUUUUCAGUAUAAAACACCGACAAUACCACACAACAUUGCACAUUGGGUUGUUUGCCAUUCAUGACUUCCACUCCAACACUCGGAAAUUGCAUAGAGAUGGUAAUUGGUGCAUAGGAUCGUUGGAGACAAUUUUUUUUUUAAUGUUGGGGGGGAGGGUAUUGGGAAUUCUUAAUGGAAUCGUGUGAGUAGAGGGA